rnacentral:rRNA from 1 species
UACGUAGGGGGCAAGCGUUGUCCGGAAUCAUUGGGCGUAAAGCGCGUGUAGGCGGCUCGAUAAGUCUGCUGUGAAAGUCCAGGGCUCAACCCUGGGAUGCCGGUGGAUACUGUCGAGCUCGAGUCCGGAAGAGGCGAGUGGAAUUCCCGGUGUAGCGGUGAAAUGCGCAGAUAUCGGGAGGAACACCAGUAGCGAAGGCGGCACUCUGGGCCGGUACUGACGCUGAGGAGCGAAAGCGUGGGGAGCGAACAGG